UGAAUCAGCAUGUGUGUUAGUGGAAGCGUCUGGAAAGGCGCGCGAUACAGGGUGACAGCCCCGUACACAAAAGCGCAUGUGCUGUGAGCUCGAUGAGUAGGGCGGGACACGUGGUAUCCUGUCUGAAUAUGGGGGGACCAUCCUCCAAGGCUAAAUACUCCUGACUGACCGAUAGUGAACCAGUACCGUGAGGGAAAGGCGAAAAGAACCCCGGCGAGGGGAGUGAAAAAGAACCUGAAACCGUGUACGUACAAGCAGUGGGAGCACAGGUUUACCUGUGUGACUGCGUACCUUUUGUAUAAUGGGUCAGCGACUUAUAUUCUGUAGCAAGGUUAACCGUAUAGGGGAGCCGGAGGGAAACCGAGUCUUAACCGGGCGUUAAGUUGCAGGGUAUAGACCCGAAACCCGGUGAUCUAGCCAUGGGCAGGUUGAAGGUUGGGUAACACUAACUGGAGGACCGAACCGACUAAUGUUGAAAAAUUAGCGGAUGACCUGUGGCUGGGGGUGAAAGGCCAAUCAAACCGGGAGAUAGCUGGUUCUCCCCGAAAGCUAUUUAGGUAGCGCCUCGUGAACUCAUCUCCGGGGGUAGAGCACUGUUUCGGCUAGGGGGCCAUCCCGGCUUACCAACCCGAUGCAAACUGCGAAUACCGGAGAAUGUUAUCACGGGAGACACACGGCGGGUGCUAACGUCCGUCGUGAAGAGGGAAACAACCCAGACCGCCAGCUAAGGUCCCAAAGUCAUGGUUAAGUGGGAAACGAUGUGGGAAGGCCCAGACAGCCAGGAUGUUGGCUUAGAAGCAGCCAUCAUUUAAAGAAAGCGUAAUAGCUCACUGGUCGAGUCGGCCUGCGCGGAAGAUGUAACGGGGCUAAACCAUGCACCGAAGCUGCGGCAGCGACACUCAGGUGUUGUUGGGUAGGGGAGCGUUCUGUAAGCCUGUGAAGGUGUGUCGUGAGGCAUGCUGGAGGUAUCAGAAGUGCGAAUGCUGACAUAAGUAACGAUAAAGCGGGUGAAAAGCCCGCUCGCCGGAAGACCAAGGGUUCCUGUCCAACGUUAAUCGGGGCAGGGUGAGUCGACCCCUAAGGCGAGGCCGAAAGGCGUAGUCGAUGGGAAACGGGUUAAUAUUCCCGUACUUGGUGUUACUGCGAAGGGGGGACGGAGAAGGCUAUGUUGGCCGGGCGACGGUUGUCCCGGUUUAAGCGUGUAGGUGUGUGUUCCAGGUAAAUCCGGUCCACUUUAACACUGAGGCGUGA
rnacentral:rRNA from 1 species